ACCACAUUCGGACCGUCGGUCUACCGCGUAAUAGCACCCGCUCGGUGGAAGAUCUUCCCUUCGUCGU
rnacentral:pre_miRNA from 1 species